rnacentral:lncRNA from 1 species
GAAAUACUUCCUAUUGGAUGUUAUGUUCACUGUUUCAGUGAUGGGUUCACUAGAAGCCUAAACCUUAGCAUUACACAAUAUACCUAUGUAACAAACUUGUACAUGUACCCGUUGAAUCUACAAUAAAAUAAAAAUAAAUAUAUACGAAGAGGAAAAAAACCUAGGGUUUGUAUACUGUUAGUCUGGGGAAUUGACAUGAAUUCAAGCAUAUUCUCCCCCUUCACUUUGAUACUUGUUUUGAUUGCCUUAUUAUGCUGAAAUAUGUUCUUAGUGACUUGGUAGAAAUAACAAUUAUUGUGUUAUUUGUUAUCUCCAAAUUGUAUUAAGUUGAAAGCUGAAAUUCUUAACUUUUAUACAGACCUGGUGGUGAACUUAACCCAGGAGAAGAUGAAGUUGAAGGACUAAAACGCUUAAUGACAGAGGUAUUUUUCUGUUUAACCACUUUGAAUACCAUCAACUUACUAGUUAUUUGGCUUUUAAUGUCUUGUAAAAAGGAUGCUUAUUUUGGAAUAUUUAGUUUUCAAUAAAUACAACUUAAACUCCA